GAUGAACGCUGGCGGCGUGCCUAACACAUGCAAGUCGAGCGAAGCACUUUGCUUAGAUUCUUCGGAUGAAGAGGAUUGUGACUGAGCGGCGGACGGGUGAGUAACGCGUGGGUAACCUGCCUCAUACAGGGGGAUAACAGUUAGAAAUGACUGCUAAUACCGCAUAAGACCACAGCACCGCAUGGUGCGGGGGUAAAAACUCCGGUGGUAUGAGAUGGACCCGCGUCUGAUUAGCUAGUUGGUAAGGUAACGGCUUACCAAGGCGACGAUCAGUAGCCGACUGAGAGGGUGACCGGCACAUUGGGACUGAGACACGGUCCAAAACUCCUACGGGAGCAGCAGUGAGGAAUAUUGGUCAAUGGACGAGAGUCUGAACCAGCCAAGUAGCGUGAAGGAUGAAGGUCCUACGGAUUGUAAACUUCUUUAUAAGGGAAUAAACCCUCCCACGUGUGGAGCCUGUAUGUACCUUAUGAAUAAGCAU
rnacentral:rRNA from 1 species